UUAUGGCCAUAUCACGUUGAAAUACUGGUUCUCGUCUGAUCACCGAAGUUAAGCAACGUCGAGCCUAGUCAGUACCUAGAUGUAUGACCGCUUGGGAAUACCAGGUACUGUAAG